rnacentral:tRNA from 1 species
AUAAGAAUGUCAGAAAUUUAUGAGUUUGCUUUAGGUGCAAAAUAUGGGUUUACCCUUCUUAUA